UAUUGGGCUUCAGUUUAAUUGAGAGAAAGAGGUCGGGCACAUGAAUUAGGGUCCGACGGUCGUCUUCUCCAAACUCAGAUGACGUUCCUGAUACCUUCAGCAGAGAAACGGAUCUACCUUUAAUCCCAUUGAUUGGUGCCUCCACGAUGUGUUUUCAAUGCGAUCCUUACGCCUCAGAGGUGGUGCGAUUAUUGCGUAUAAAUAGGGGUCACCCCUCUCAUCCUCGACGCACCCACGCUUUCCUACAUAGAUUCUUCUUUGUUUUUGUCAUGUAUGCUCCGAAAGUUUUCUUCUCAGACCUCAAGUCCGGCAAGUGCUCCUCCGUCGUUGAGGCUCGGCUUCUGCGGUCCUGGGAGGCAAAAAAUGUCAAACGCGAUGGGGAAUUGAUGUGGGUCGACAUGCUCUUGAUUGACGUCAACGCGACAAUGAUGCAGGUCACCAUCAAUGCUAACCGCCUUUCACGAUUCCGUUCCAAACUCGCCGCCGGGACGAUGUACACCGUCUCUGGCUUCGAUGCGGCGGCGAUGAGGGACUUUCUAGUUUCUUCGUUCGAUCUGAAACGGUUCUAUCUAUGGCUGCAUGGUAAAUCGAAUUGAUCGGAUUUUAUCAUUUUGUGAGUUUCGUCAACGGAAGAGAAAGAUGGUAGUACAGCUCCUAUUAUCGAGACUAGGAUGCAAGAACCGACCCUUUUUCGGGUAAUGGCGGCGGAUAGCAGAUCUCCGAGAGACGGGAAGCACAUCGAGGUCUUGGGUUACUUCAAUCCUUUGCCAGGCCAGGAUGGUGGUAAGAGAAUGGGUCUCAAGUUUUAUAGAAUCAAGUACGUUUCCUUAUCAUCUUUUCACAUUUGAGUUUGUGAAUGGAGUUGGAUGAUUUAGACCAUUGUUAUAAGGGAAGGCUCUCUUAGUUUAUUAAUAUGUGAAUGGAGCUGGAAACGUUAUUAGAAUGAUUCUUCAGUUCAUUGUAGCUUUGUGAAAGUAGUUUCCUUUGUUCAAAGGAGCAAUGCGUUUUUUUAAUCAUGUUUCUUGAGAUUGUCUUCUACUUACUUAAAUCACUCUUCUGGGUUUCUGCAUUUGAAAUGUUUUGGUCUAAGAUAUCAGUCAGGGUUUGCAGUCACAUUUACACAAUGAUUAGCUAUAUUUCCUUGGAUAUUUUCUCUUUCAUAUGUGUUGUUAUGACUACUUUCUCUGUUUUCUUUGAUUGAAUUUUGCAAUGUUUUUUUUUCAAAACAAAAAAAAUUUGCUUUAUUUUCUGGUGGUUUCGUGGCAGCUCCAUAACUUGAGUUUUAGGGGUUUUCAAAGUGUAAGCUCCAUAACAAUUGAUUUUCCAUAACAAUGUAAGUUAUCAAUGGGUAAUCUUCUGGUUUGUAUUUGUCACGUAGAAACUUCGAAUCCAUAUUUGGCUAUUUGAGCGGAAAGAUCUGAAGACUGAAGAAAUAAUUAAUGUAAAUCUGUACUACACAUUUUUAGCUAUGAAUCUGUUCCGAACAGAGCUCCAUGAGCAUGUACUUUGUAAUUCCUAGCUUAGUUUUCUUUCUAAAUCAAGUUUAAAUACACUGUUUAAUCGAUCUCUUUGUUUUCUCAAGUGUUCAGGAAUUCAUGGUGUUCUUUGUGCGGCUGAAUUCAUGGAGUACAAACACUACCGAGGCCUAGGUCUUGAUGCCUGCAUAAUCUACAUAGAUGGUGCUUAUGAUACUUUUCAGUUGGCCACACUAAGCUAAAUGUCAACACUACUGAGGAAUUCAUGGUGUUCUUUGUUCAGAAAGUUGCUACAUAUUUUAUUAAUCUUUAUGUUUUUCAUUUUCCCUGUUUUUGUCGAUAGAAUUUGAGCGUAAUAUGUAUUUGACUACAUAGAUCUUCAAAACUAUAUUUUUGAAAUGAGAAGAGAGUUUAUUUUUAACAAA